UGUUGAGUUAUGUGACAGGCUUCUGUAAAACUGCGUGUAGUGAAUAGUCCGUAAAAGGAGUAGACAGACUUCUAUGACCACUCCUUUCCUUUCUGACCUCCUUCCACAAAGAAUAAUCCCUAAUCUCAUAUAAUCCGCACUGUUGGUUGUAGAGAGAGCCGACUGCCAUUCACUGCGAGUUUAGCAUGACAUCAUAUACAAAGAGCGAGAUGGACAAUUAUCAAGCAUACGAAAAUCUACAACACAAUCAGCGAAGGAGGAUGCAGCUCCAGAACGAUCUUCAGUCACAACAAAGAAGUCAUCGCCUUAGCAGGGCUGCCUGGCUGCAGGGCCGCUGGUUGGAGAUCAGUGAGCAGGAACGCAGAGCUCAUAUUCAUAACCAAAAACUCCUGCAGGACUUUCAGAGAGCAGAAGACACACUCAGCGACAUGGUGGCCCGUACCGAAGCCAUGAACAUCAUACGGGUCAGCAACCAUAUGACUUCUGCUAUUUAUAAUGUAAAACAGCAGCACUGUGGGAAUAAUAUGUUCUAAAAUGCCUUUAGUGCA